UGUUGUAGUGGUUUCCAGGUGACAUCAGAAAGUUGUGGAAUGAGUGUAGAUAAGCAGAGAGAGCUUGUUCAUAAACUGCCAUAGCAACCCAUUGGAUUGAGAGUACAACAACUUCACAAUGUAUAUGUGGACACCAGCUUAUGUGUACACCAACUUCACAAUGUACAUGUGUACAUGUGAUUAUCACGGAUAGUGUACAUGUGGAUAUUGUUAACUGAUGUGUUUAGGCCUCCUUACUUUGUUCUUAGUGAUGUAUGGGAAUCGUUUGCAGAGUGGAGUGCUUACGACUGAUUCUGAUGCCUUAAGCUCACCUCAGCCAAGUGAAACAUAUGCCUGAGACACUCUUACAAAGGCUGUGAACAAGGAUGAUGCUACGUUGAUUUUGGUUAACUGAACUCAACUGACUUUCUAUGCUGGAAUUGAUUUUGCAUUCUAUGCUGAGAGUGCCUCAUAGAAUCUGGGAAGCUUUGAGGAUACAACCAAGCCAAUGCUGCUUCACAAAUUUGACUUCCCUUGUCACAAUAUCCUUGAAGCUGGUGAAAACUAUAAGCAACAGCCAUAAUCUAAGGAUGUUUUUUUGGUGUUUUGAUAGAACAUGUACUAUGGAGUUUAUAUUCUUUUUGUAUGCAUGUAAAUUUGAACGUACUGUUUUUUUA